rnacentral:rRNA from 1 species
UACGAAGGGUGGCAAGCGUUACUCGGAAUUACUGGGCGUAAAGCGUGCGUAGGUGGUUGUUAAGUCUGAUGUGAAAGCCCUGGGCUCAACCUGGGAAUUGCAUUGGAUACUGGCAGGCUAGAGUGCGGUAGAGGGUAGUGGAAUUCCCGGUGUAGCAGUAGAAAUGCGUAGAGAUCGGGAGGAACACCAGUGGCGAAGGCGACUACC